rnacentral:rRNA from 1 species
UACGGAGGGUGCAAGCGUUUAUCCGGAUUUAUUGGGUUUAAAGGGUACGUAGGCGGUGGAGUAAGUCAGUGGUGAAAGCCAACAGCUCAACUGUUGAACUGCCAUUGAUACUGCUUCACUUGAGUGCAGUUGAGGUGGGUGGAAUUCCAUGUGUAACGGUGAAAUGCUUAGAUAUAUGGAGGAACACCGAUAACGAAGGUAACUCACUAAAACUGUAACUGACGCUGAGGUACGAAAGCGUGGGGAGCAAACGGG